CGCCUCUCAGGAUCACAACAGGAGAGCUUCCAGUACUCUACCAGCCUUGGCUAGAGGAGGGAGAGUCAAGCAGAGGCAUACCCCUUCCAUUUCUAGCCUGGUCAGUGGCUAGCAAGUGGAAGGCAAUCCUGAUACAAGU
rnacentral:snoRNA from 2 species